UAUAGGAUCCUAUAGGAAUAGAAUUCCUAUAGGAAUUUCCUAUAGGAAUUCCUAUAGGAUCCUAUAGGAAUAGAUUUCCUAUAGGAAUUUCCUAUAGGAACUGAAUUCCUAUAGGAAUUUCCUAUAGGAAUUUCCUAUAGGAAUUUUCCUAUAGGAAUUUUCCU